rnacentral:rRNA from 1 species
GAUGAACGCUGGCGGCGUGCCUAAUACAUGCAAGUCGAGCGAACAGAUGAGGAGCUUGCUCCUCUGACGUUAGCGGCGGACGGGUGAGUAACACGUGGAUAACCUACCUAUAAGACUGGGAUAACUUCGGGAAACCGGAGCUAAUACCGGAUAAUAUAUUGAACCGCAUGGUUCAAUAGUGAAAGACGGUUUUGCUGUCACUUAUAGAUGGAUCCGCGCCGCAUUAGCUAGUUGGUAAGGUAACGGCUUACCAAGGCAACGAUGCGUAGCCGACCUGAGAGGGGGAUCGGCCACACUGGAACUGAGACACGGGCCAGACUCCGACGGGAGGCAGCAGUAGGGAAUCUUCCGCAAUGGGCGAAAGCCUGACGGAGCAACGCCGCGUGAGUGAUGAAGGUCUUCGGAUCGUAAAACUCUGUUAUUAGGGAAGAACAAAUGUGUAAGUAACGAUGCACGUCUGGACGGUACCUAUCAGAAAGCCACGGCUAACUACGUG